UGGGGAAUUUUGCACAAUGGCGGGAACUCUGAUGCAGCGACGCCGCGUGAGUGAUGAAGGAUUUCGUUUCGUAAAACUUUUUUCUAUGGGAAGAAAAGGACUGUACCAUAGGAGAAAGCUCCGGCUAAAUACGUGCCAGCAGCCGCGGUAAUACGUAUGGAGCGAGCGUUGUCCGGAAUUAUUGGGCGUAAAGGGUGCGCAGGCGGCUUUACAAGUUGGAUGUGAAAUAUUGUGGCUCAACCACAAACGUGCAUCCAAAACUACUAAACUUGAGUUAAGGAGAAGUGAGUGGAAUUCCUGGUGUAGCGGUGGAAUGCGUGGAAAUCAGGAGGAAUACCGAUGGCGAAGGCGACUUACUGGCCUUAAACUGACGCUCAGGCACGAAAAAGUAGGGAGCAGAAAGG
rnacentral:rRNA from 1 species